rnacentral:tRNA from 1 species
GAGGAUCUAGCUUAAUAAAAGUGAUUGAUUUGCAUUCAAUUGAUAUAAGAUAUAAUCUUGUGAUUCUUA